UACGUAGGGGGCUAGCGUUGUCCGGAAUCAUUGGGCGUAAAGCGCGUGUAGGCGGCCCGGUAAGUCCGCUGUGAAAGUCGGGGGCUCAACCCUCGGAUGCCGGUAGAUACUGUCGGGCUAGAGUGCGGAAGAGGCGAGUGGAAUUCCUGGUGUAGCGGUGAAAUGCGCAGAUAUCAGGAGGAACACCAAUUGCGAAGGCAGCUCGCUGGGACGUGACUGACGCUGAGACGCGAAAGCGUGGGGAGCAAACAGG
rnacentral:rRNA from 1 species